rnacentral:rRNA from 1 species
CCUACGGGAGGCAGCAGUGGGGAAUAUUGCACAAUGGGGGAAACCCUGAUGCAGCGACGCCGCGUGAGUGAAGAAGUAUUUCGGUACGUAAAGCUCUAUCAGCAGGGAAGAAAAAAAGUCCUUUGGACUUUGGACGGUACCUGACUAAGAAGCCCCGGCUAACUACGUGCCAGCAGCCGCGGUAAUACGUAGGGGGCAAGCGUUAUCCGGAUUUACUGGGUGUUAAGGGAGCGUAGACGGCAGCGCAAGUCUGGAGGGAAAUGCCGGGGCCCAACCCCGGAACUGCUUUGGAAACUGUGGAGCUGGAGUGGAGGAGAGGUAAGCGGAAUGCGUGGUGUAGCGGUGAAAUGCGUAGAUAUUAGGAGGAACACCAGUGGCGAAGGCAGCUUACUGGACUGUAACUGACGUUGAGGCUCGAAAGCGUGGGGAGCAAACAGGAUUAGAUACCCCGGUAGUC